CACGUAGGGGGCAAGCGUUGUCCGGAUUUAUUGGGCGUAAAGAGCUCGUAGGUGGUUCGGUAAGUCAGGUGUGAAACCUCCAGGCUCAACCUGGAGACGCCACUUGAUACUGCUGUGACUGGAGUCCGGUAGGAGAGCGUGGAAUUCCUGGUGUAGCGGUGAAAUGCGCAGAUAUCAGGAGGAACACCAGCGGCGAAGGCGGCGCUCUGGGCCGGUACUGACACUGAGGAGCGAAAGCGUGGGUAGCAAACAGG
rnacentral:rRNA from 1 species